GACGAACGCUGGCGGCGUGCUUAACACAUGCCAGUCGAACGGAAAGGCCUUUUCGGAGGUACUCGAGUGGCGAACGGGUGAGUAACACGUGGGUGAUCUGCCCUGCACUCUGGGAUAAGCCUGGGAAACUGGGUCUAAUACCGGAUAGGACCGCACUUUAGUGUGUGUGGUGGAAAGUUUUUUCGGUGUAGGAUGAGCCCGCGGCCUAUCAGCUUGUUGGUGGGGUAAUGGCCUACCAAGGCGGCGACGGGUAGCCGGACUGAGAGGUUGGUCGGCCACAUUGGGACUGAGAUACGGCCCAGACUCCUACGGGAGGCAGCAGUGGGGAAUAUUGCACAAUGGGCGCAAGCCUGAUGCAGCGACGCCGCGUGGGGGAUGACGGCCUUCGGGUUGUAAACUCCUUUCGCCAGGGACGAAGCGUUUUGUGACGGUACCUGGAGAAGAAGCACCGGCUAACUACGUG
rnacentral:rRNA from 1 species